rnacentral:rRNA from 1 species
CCUACGGGUGGCAGCAGUGAGGAAUAUUGGUCAAUGGGCGCGAGCCUGAACCAGCCAAGUAGCGUGAAGGAUGACUGCCCUACGGGUUGUAAACUUCUUUUAUAAAGGAAUAAAGUGAGACACGUGUGCCUUUUUGUAUGUACUUUAUGAAUAAGGAUCGGCUAACUCCGUGCCAGCAGCCGCGGUAAUACGGAGGAUCCGAGCUUUAUCCGGAUUUCUUGGGUUUAAAGGGAGCGUAGAUGGGUUGGUAAGUCAGUUGUGAAAGGUUGCGGCUCAACCGUAAAAUUGCAAUUGAUACUGGUAGUCGUGAGUACAGUAGAGGUAGGCGGAAUUCGUGGUGUAGCGGUGAAAUGCGUAGAUAUCACGAAGAACUCCGAGUGCGAAGGCAGCUUACUAAACUGCCACUGACAUUGAUGCUCGAAAGUGUGGGUAUCAAACAGGAUUAGAUACCCGAGUAGUC